AGUGAACGCUGGCGGUAGGCCUAACACAUGCAAGUCGAACGGCAGCACAGUAAGAGCUUGCUCUUACGGGUGGCGAGUGGCGGACGGGUGAGGAAUACAUCGGAAUCUACUUUUUCGUGGGGGAUAACGUAGGGAAACUUACGCUAAUGCCGCAUACGACCUACGGGUGAAAGCAGGGGAUCUUCGGACCUUGCGCGAUUGAAUGAGCCGAUGUCGGAUUAGCUAGUUGGCGGGGUAAAGGCCCACCAAGGCGACGAUCCGUAGCUGGUCUGAGAGGAUGAUCAGCCACACUGGAACUGAGACACGGUCCAGACUCCUACGGGAGGCAGCAGUGGGGAAUAUUGGACAAUGGGCGCAAGCCUGAUCCAGCCAUACCGCGUGGGUGAAGAAGGCCUUCGGGUUGUAAAGCCCUUUUGUUGGGAAAGAAAAGCAGCAGGUUAAUACCCCGCUGUUCUGACGGUACCCAAAGAUUAAGCACCGGCUAACUUCGUG
rnacentral:rRNA from 1 species